AUUAAUACCCCAUAGGAAGCUUUAUCCAUGAUUUAGCUUUUAAAGCCUUCGGGCGCUGAGGGAUUGGGAUAUGCUCUAUUAGCUAGUUGGCGGGAUAAAAGCCCACCAAGGCAAUGAUAGAUAGCUGGUCUUAGAGGAUGAACAGCCACAAUGGGAUUGAGAUACGGCCCAUAUUCCUACGGGAAGCAGCAGUAGGGAAUCUUCCACAAUGGACGAAAGUCUGAUGGAGCAAUACCAUGUGAACGAUGAAGGCCUUUUUGGUUGUAAAGUUCUUUUACGAGGGAUAAUUAUGAUAGUACUUCGUGAAUAAGUGACAGCAAACUAUGUGCCAGCAGCUGCGGUAAUACAUAGGUCGCAAGCAUUAUUCGGAUUUAUUGGGCGUAAAGCAAGCGCAGGCGGAUGUGUAAGUUCUGUGUUAAAUGCAGCUACUCAAUAGUUGUAUGCACCGAAUACUACAUGUCUAGAUGGUGGUAGGGAGUUUCGGAAUUAAGCAUGGAGCGGUGGAAUGUGUAGAUAUGCUUAAGAACACCAGAGGCGAAGGCGGAAACUUAGGCCAUAAAUGACGCUUAGGCUUGAAAGUGUGGGGAGCAAAUGGGAUUAGAUACCCCAGUAGUCCACACCGUAAACGAUGGGUAUUAGAUAUUAGGGCUUUAGCUUUAGUGUUGUAGCUUACGCGUUAAAUACCCCGCCUGGGUAGUACAUAUGCAAAUAUGAAACUCAAAGGAAUUGACGGGGACCUGAACAAGUGGUGGAGCAUGUUGCUUAAUUCGAUAAUACACGAAAAACCUUACCAAGGUUUGACAUCCCUCGCAAAGCUAUAGAAAUAUAGUAGAGGUUAUCGAGGUGACAGGUGGUGCAUGGCUGUCGUCAGCUCGUGUCUUGAGAUGUUUGGUUAAGUCCCGCAACGAGCGCAACCCCACUCUUUAGUUACUUGUCUAAAGAGACUGCACAGUAAUGUAGAGGAAGGAUGGGAUCACGUCAAGUCAUCAUGCCCCUUAUGCCUUGGGCUGCAAACGUGCUACAAUGGCGAACACAAUGUGUUGCAAACCAGCGAUGGUAAGCUAAUCACCAAAUUUCGUCUCAGUUCGGAUAGGAGGCUGCAAUUCGCCUCCUUGAAGUUGGAAUCACUAGUAAUCCCGUGUCAGCUAUAUCGGGGUGAAUCCGUUCCCAGGUCUUGUACACACCGCCCG
rnacentral:rRNA from 1 species